rnacentral:rRNA from 1 species
GACGGGGGGGGCAAGUGUUCUUCGGAAUUACUGGGCGUAAAGGGCUCGUAGGCGGCCAACUAAGUCAGACGUGAAAUCCCUCGGCUUAACCGGGGAACUGCGUCUGAUACUGGAUGGCUUGAGGUUGGGAGAGGGAUGCGGAAUUCCAGGUGUAGCGGUGAAAUGCGUAGAUAUCUGGAGGAACACCGGUGGCGAAGGCGGCUCACUGGCCCGGUACUGACGCUGAGGCGCGAAAGCGUGGGGAGCAAACAGG